AGAAACAUAAAAAUCUUAUAACCCUCUUGGGUUGCCUGUAAAAUGGCAUCAAAAUGCCUUGUGUGGGGGGACCUCUUUUUCAGCCAUAAAAAUAAUCUCUUCCAAUAGAUCUUCUUCCCUUUUUAGAUUUGAGAUCCAAGCUUGAAAUUCAACAACAACAACAACAACAACUACCCAGUAUAGUCCCACAAAGUGGGGUCUGGGGAGAGUAAUAUGUGGACGAGUCUUACCCCUACCCGAAAGGGCAGAGAGGUUGUUUCCAAUCAAUAUGCCGCCAGAACAAAGCCACAAGAAAUCGAUCCUCAGAUCUCUGCCCUUGUAGCUGAAAGAAGAG
rnacentral:lncRNA from 1 species